UCAUAUUCAAUAGAGGGUAUUUGGUUGCAAAAUAUAGUUUUUUGUGUAUAGGAGCAGGUGUGGCCCUUCAAAGUUUUCUGGAGAGUUAAUAGUCUUCCAAAAUUACACACCUCUCUUCUAGAUUAACACACAUUGUCUGGCACCAUCCAGCAUUUCUGGAUUUUCUUUAAUUAAAAAAUAAAUCAAAAACAAAACAAAACCCAAAAAACCAACAAGUGGAAGGUAAGAAUGCUUGUUUCUGUUGUUAAAGCAUAUUUUAAAGCUAUGUGUUCCAGGGAAAGGCUACAUCAGGCACAUAAUGUCCUUUGGUCGCGAGGGAGAAUGAAAUGCAAGGCACAUAAGAGAAACCUUUUACCACAGCCCAACCCUUCUUGUUAUAGGGAAAGCACUGGUGAAGGGGAAAAAUGGUGAUGGACGGCGCUCUCUAAACAUGUCUUUGAAGCUUGAUGGCCUUGGAGGGAAACCAGUAUGUUCCGAAACUGCACUUUUUCAAAAGCUGACCCUCCCUCCCAAACAAACUUUGGUUACCUAUCAACAGUGGUAACUGUUGCGAGGAUGCCAGAAACCAAUGUAAAUCAGCGUCUGGGUCGACUUUUGGUCUUGAAUGAGCAACCAACUGACCUCUGUGGAGGCAAAAACUGCUAGAACUUAUUUGUUGGUCUGAAUCAGCACAUCAACCUGUGUUUUUGGACUGUCCUUGUGAGUCAUGUGGGAGGUAAGAACUUUGCUCCAUCUUUAUUUUUGUACUUUUUGUAUCUUUCUGUUAACAUGAAUCAAAUUAGAUUCUGCAGUAUUGGAAGAAUGUCCAGCCACUUGUAUAAUGCCUCCUGGGUCUUGCACAAAUCUGUGUCUUCAGAUGCAAGAGAAAGAUAAGCUCUGGUCAUCCAGGUAUCAUAUAAAAUAGGGCCGAUACAUUUAAGCUCAUGAAAACCAUUGGUUUAAUUGGUUAAACACUGGGUUUGUGGCCAGAACCUCGAUUUACAGUUAAGUCGUCUCUGUUAUUUUCUUUAAAAAUUAUGUAUUUUUAAAACAAGAUCUGGAAUUAGAACAUCAUGGUGGAGAAUGCACUAAAGUAAAUGAAUGUCUUGAAAGGAGGAGUAGCUGCUAGCUGACUUAAUUUGUUAACAAAAAUUAACAGAUCUUGCCAGUUUAUGUUAUAAACCAGAUAUAGAAUUGCGUGUAUGGUUCAUGAUGAGAGGAGUACCAUAUCUCUGCAAGUGUCAACUGUAAGCAAGGAAUGCUGACUUUUCAGCUGUACUUUGAAUUGGGAGAUAGUUGCAAAGCAGGAAGAGACUCAGGCCCCUUCUACACAGCUGUAUAAAAUCCACAUUAUCUGCUUUGAACUGGAUUAUAUGGCAAGGCAGUGUGGACUAGGAUAAUCCAGUUGAAAUUAGAUAAUGUGGAUUUUCUGCUUUGAUAACCUGGAUUAUCUGGCAGUGUAGAAGGGGCCUCAGUGCAUUUCAAGGUUCUCAUUCAUCUAUCUGUCUGUCUGUCUGUCUGUCUGUCUGUCUGUCUGUCUAUCUAUCUAUCUAUCUAUCUAUCUAUCUAUCUAUCUAUCUAUCUAUCUAUCUAUCUAUGGCUCAACUGCAAGGGAGUGGGGUAACAACUGUAUCUCUGAUAUUCACUAUGUUGUCAUUCUUGUCCCAAGACAAAGACAUUCAAGCUGCAAUGUACAAGUUUCCACUUGGUAUUCUCUUAUGUUCUGGAACUAUGUUGUUGAAGCAUCCAACACCUGGGUGUAACAAGAGGAACAUGUGGUCUGACAGAUGAAAACAUUUGCUAAAAGGAUGAUAAGCAAGGCAUGUGCAAUGGUUAUAUUGGUCCUACCACUGUAGAAAAGGCGAGAUAUAAAUCGGGUGAUUGAUUGUUAGAUAUUUAUGUGGAUUUUCAGAGCAUGUAAAUAACUAGGAGGACCAUAUAGUUGUUAUUUGGAGAAAACCAUGUUUAAAUAAGAUCAAUCAGAGAAGCAAUGCUAAAUUAACUCAUAGGAUUGCCUCAGGUGCCAUCUGUUUUCUGGAUUGUCCUAAUACUUGCACCUGGGAAGGUGGGUUUCUGCCAGCACACCUGUCUAAAGAAGCCUUACUAACAAAGAUGUAGCCAACAAGAUCUUUCAGUAUUACUCAUGAGAAGAAGCAUUUGUAACAAUUUGGAUUCGUGAAAUAAAUUCUAUUUGGAAUUUGCAUGGAAUUUGAAUAGAACUUUUAAAGUUUUGCUUUGGAAGUUUGUCAGGGCGAUUGUGAUGAGUAAAGAUGAAUGUCAGAGUUUGGAAAACUGCUUUUUUGAACUACAGCUUCUAAGUUAGCCUGGCUCACAGAAGAAGAAGUACCAUGAAUUCUAAAAUAUUUUGGGCUGGAAGGAAAAACAUUGUUCUUGUAUUUGACUACAUGAGGUCUCAGGGCUGACCAAAGACAUUUUGAUGCCUGAUCUAGCAUUUAUUUUUUAUUUACUUUAUUACUACCACACAUUUUCCCCCAUGUGGACUCAAAACAGCAUACAGUAACAUGACACAACCCAAGGAAUUCAAUAAAAUGGCAAAUAUAAAAAUUAAAAACAAUUAAAAACAAUUAAAUAUUUGUGUCAUGAAAGCACCAUCUCUUCCUGAAGACAUUAUGCAUAGAACCCAAAGGUAAAUAAAUGCAAAGCAUCUAUCUGUUUGCUGUGUAGGGCUGUCAGAAUGAAAACAGAGUUUCUGUAUCUUUACAAGUUGUGCAGAGGAGGGAAUUUGAGCAGGUCUUACUUCACAUCUAAGAUUAUGGCAACCAGACUGAUUGAUAACUGGCAAAUAGAGGGGGGAAAUGUGGAGGCAGUGACAGGCUUCAUAUUUCUAGGCAUGAAGAUUACUGCAGACGCAAAUUGCAGCGAGGAAAUCAGAAGACGUUUACUUCUUGGGAAGAGAGCAAUGACCAAUCUUGAUAAAAUAGUGAAGAGUAGAGAUAUCACACUGACAACAAAGAUCAGCAUAGUUAAAGCAAUGGUAUUCCCCAUAGUAAUCUUUGGAUGUGAGAGCUGUAUCAUAAGGAAGGCUGAACGAAGGAAGAUAGAUGCUUUUGAACUGUGGUGUUGGAGGAAAAUUCUGAGAGUGCCUUGGUCCGCAAGAAGAUCCAACUCCAGGAAAUAGUGCCUGACUGUUCACUGGAGGGAAGGAUAUCAGAGGCAAAGAUGAAGUACUCUGGCCACAUCAUGAGAAGACAGAAAAGCUUGGAGA